ACACACACGCACACACACGCACACACACACACACACACACACACACACGUACACACAUCAUUUUAUUUUCCACAUGGAACCCAGAGAAAUUUAUGGGAUGUCCUUCCAACGUUUUCCCUCCCUAACUUAACAUCAUCCGUUUGCAAAGCCUGCUUAUAAUUCUGUUUGCUGCACUUCGAUCACCAUGAAGAAUAUUGCACAAAUCUGUGCAGGAGUCUUGCCAUGGCUGCUCUUCCUGUUCACUACAAAAGGGUUUUGUCACCAGAGGGUUCAUUGUCAGUGGGGGCCUUAUGGUAGCUGGUCAGAGUGUGAUGCCUGCACCAAACUACAGCUAUAGAAGAUCCAUGGUUCGUGUACCAGCCUGGGCUGGGAUAGGCUCCAGCUCCCCAGCAACCUUAAUGAGGAUUAAGUGGUGUAUAGCUAAUGGACGGAUGGAUGUUGUGGUGUGUG
ensembl:lncRNA